GAGGGUAUAGCUCAGUGGUAGAGUGUGUGCUUAGUAUGCAUGAGGUCCUGGGUUUAAUCCCUAGUACCUCCA
rnacentral:tRNA from 1 species